rnacentral:rRNA from 1 species
UACGUAGGGGGCAAGCGUUGUCCGGAAUCAUUGGGCGUAAAGAGCGUGUAGGCGGCCCGAUAAGUCCGCUGUGAAAGUCCAGGGCUCAACCCUGGGAUGCCGGUGGAUACUGUCGGGCUCGAGUCCGGAAGAGGAGUGUGGAAUUCCCGGUGUAGCGGUGAAAUGCGCAGAUAUCGGGAGGAACACCGGUGGCGAAGGCGGUUCUCUGGGCCUUACCUGACGCUGAGGAGCGAAAGCGUGGGGAGCGAUCCGG